AUUGAACGCUGGCGGCAUGCUUUACACAUGCAACUCGAACGGUAACAGGGAGCUUGCUCCGCUGACGAGUGGCGAACGGGUGAGUAAUGCAUCGGAGCGUGCCGUGUAAUGGGGGAUAACGUAGCGAAAGUUACGCUAAUACCGCAUACGCCCUGAGGGGGAAAGUGGGGGACCGCAAGGCCUCACGUUAUACGAGCGGCCGAUGUCGGAUUAGCUAGUUGGUGGGGUAAAGGCCUACCAAGGCGACGAUCCGUAGCGGGUCUGAGAGGAUGAUCCGCCACACUGGGACUGAGACACGGCCCAGACUCCUACGGGAGGCAGCAGUGGGGAAUUUUGGACAAUGGGGGGCAACCCUGAUCCAGCCAUGCCGCGUGAGUGAAGAAGGCC
rnacentral:rRNA from 1 species